GACGAAGGAUGCAAGCGUUAUCCGGAUUCAUUGGGUUUAAAGGGAGCGUAGGCGGACUUAUAAGUCAGUGGUGAAUCUCUGGGCUUAACUCAGAAACUGCCAUUGAUACUGUAGGUCUAGAGUACAUUUGCUGUGGGCGGAAUAUGACAUGUAGUGGUGAAAUACUUAGAUAUGUCAUAGAACACCGAUUGCGAAGGCAGCUCACAAAAAUGGAUAACUGACGCUGAAGGCUCGAAAGUGCGGGGAGGUAC
rnacentral:rRNA from 1 species